UUCGGUGACCAUAGUAGAAUAAAAAACCCGUUACCAUUCCGAACACGGUAGUUAAGUUAUCUACGCCGAUGGUACUAUCUGAUAGAUGGGAGAGUAGGUAUUGCCGGGG
rnacentral:rRNA from 1 species